AAGUUAAUCCUACCACUAUCAUUGAUGGUUCGCUUUCUUCCUCCACCACCAAGGGUUCUCAUAUCUUCCAUCACAGACAGUUCCUUCCUUUUUCUCAAGAUCCUUUCAGUUUGAUUUCUGCAAUUUAGCUUCUCAAAACCCCUAACUCAGGUAACUCGUUUGACAGAGGUGAAGUGUUAUGUUUUAUUCAUAAGAGUUGAACUAUAUUUUUGUAUUGGUUGUUUUUUGUUUUUUAUUUUUUAUUUUUAUUUUGCUGAGUUGAAGUGAUUUUGCUUCAAGCUUCUAUUUUGUGUUGAUUUUGUUGAGUUAAUGUGAUUUGUUUUGUUUGGUUGACUUCAAAUAAUAUUUUUGUCGCUAUAAAGUGAUUAUUCUUGAGUUAAAGUGAUUUUGUUGAGUCAAAGUCAUUUUUUUGAGUUAACGUGAUUACCAUUUUGUGAACUGAGAUGAACAUCGCAAGAUGAAGCAACCUGUGCGAGAUGCGAGUAUAGUAAUAGAUUUGAAAGGAUUGUGGAUUUGGUGUUUGUGUUUGGAUUGGUGUUUUGGAGGCACGUGAGGUGUGAAUGGUGUGAAGUUGGCGGAGGAGUUCGUCGGGAAUCGGUGGGAGUGAUUUAGGGGGUAGUAGAGAGGUGGUACAGAGAGAGAGAGAGAGAAUGUUGGUGGCUACCAUUGCUAUUAGGAGUAGAAGGUUUAGAGUCAUGGUGAUAAACAUGAAUUUAUUUUGGUCUUCAACUCCAUUGUUUUUCAUGUAAAAGGAGCAAUUUCACAUUCCAUGAUCUUUUCUCAAUCUGCAGCAUCACAUUCUUAUCCUUGUUCUCAAUAACCCCUUUUAAACUUGGUACAUACCACAUAGUAUAAUAGUAUUAUCAAUCAUUAUAAUUUAUAAUCAUAUCAUAACAUAUACUAAUAAAUGUUGUGUGAUUGAACUUACGUACCAGCCGAUUUUGUGCCUAUGAUUAAUAGGCUUUAUGAGAAUUGUGAAAAAAGGAUUGCUUGAGUUGAAAUUUUUAGCUACUUCCUGAGUUUUAGCUCCCUUUAGCCAAUUCAUUGAUGAAGCUGUUCUUUGACUUAUAGUCUUCUUAAUCUCACCUGCAUAUAUGUGAGGAAUGUAAAACAAAGAGAGGAAACUAGCAUUUCACUGAGUCAACUUUACUAUUAUUUUCUCUUCUUCUCAUAAUUUAAUUUCUACAGUUUCAUUUUCCAAUCAUUGCAUUUGGUAUGUGAUAUGCUGAACUAAUCAUGGCAUUUUUCCACUAUUCUUAAAUAUGUCAUUGUCUUCUUAUCUUAAGAUAUUUAUUCCACUUUGUUUCUUGACAAAAGAAUCUGAUAUUUUUUUGCAAGAGCAAUAAAUUCAGCUAUCUUUAUCUGUUUGCUUUUAUAUUUUUCCCUAUUAAGCAUGUAUUUUUUCCUAUUAGUAUCCACUUUGUUCAAUUUAGCUAUUUGCAUCGUUCUUACUUGUUUGUUAUCAAUGCUUGCAAUGUCGCGUGUUUGGAGUCUCACAAUGGGAACACCAUAUGAGGAUGCACGAAACAAAAGGAUGGAAGAGAACCAAAAAAGAAUGGAAGCUCUGAAUCUACCUAAACUCUCUCAAUCCCAUUACAAAUCGUCUUCCAUCACAAAACCCUCGAAAAUUAAUAAGGAAGUAGGGUUGAAACCAAAGCUGAAAGUAAACGAGGAGGGUGAGCUACCUAAAGUAAGAUCAAGCCAGGAAUUGGCUAAGUUAUACUGAAUCAAGCGUGAGAAAAUACAGAGUAAUAUUGAACAACCUAAUGCACAUGUGGCUGGAAAAUGAUGUGGAUGACAUGAUGGGACAAGCUUUGGGCAUUGAAAAUGCAGCACUCCAUUCAUCUACAUCGACCCAUGUUCCUGAAAAGUUCAAGUCACUGCACUCUACACAUAAUUCUGCGCUUCCUUAACCAAUGAUGAUCAUGAUCCUUUGAAGUUUUUGCCAUAUGGGUUUAUUGAUAAGACUAAAGAACAAGGUUUUUUGGUUCUUUAUGAGGCCCCACAAGUUCAAAUUCUUAGUCACAAUGCAAUUGGUGGUUUUUAAGUCAUUGUGGAUGGAAGGGUUGUUGAAAGAUACUUUAGUUAAGUUAGUUGUUCGUUUUUAAAUGUAUACUCGUACGUUACAAAAAAUAAAUUUUAUGUCUUGACAUCAACAAUUUUCUUAUAAAAUAUAAUAAAAAAUCUAAUCAAA